rnacentral:hammerhead_ribozyme from 1 species
AUCCAGCUGACGAGUCCCAAAUAGGACGAAAUACCCGUCUUGGAU